rnacentral:rRNA from 1 species
AUGAAGAGUUUGAUCCUGGCUCAGGAUGAACGCUAGCGGCAGGCCUAACACAUGCAAGUCGAGGGGCAGCGGGGAAAAGCUUGCUUUUCCGCCGGCGACCGGCGCACGGGUGCGGAACGCGUAUGGAACCUGCCCCUGUCAGGGGAAUAGCCCAGGGAAACUUGGAUUAAUGCCCCAUGGUACCAAUAUAUCGCAUGAUAUUUUGGUUAAAGAUUUAUCGGACAGGGAUGGCCAUGCGUACCAUUAGUUAGAUGGUGAGGUAACGGCUCACCAUGGCAGCGAUGGUUAGGGGCCCUGAGAGGGGGAUCCCCCACACUGGUACUGAGACACGGACCAGACUCCUACGGGAGGCAGCAGUGAGGAAUAUUGGACAAUGGUCGGGAGACUGAUCCAGCCAUGCCGCGUGCAGGAUGACUGCCCUAUGGGUUGUAAACUGCUUUUAUACGGGAAGAAACCCACCUACGUGUAGGUGGCUGACGGUACCGUAAGAAUAAGGACCGGCUAACUCCGUGCCAGCAGCCGCGGUAAUACGGAGGGUCCGAGCGUUAUCCGGAAUCAUUGGGUUUAAAGGGUCCGUAGGCGGGCCGUUAAGUCAGGGGUGAAAGUCUGCGGCUCAACCGUAGAAUUGCCUUUGAUACUGGCGGUCUUGAGUCAUGGUGGGGUUGCCGGAACAUGUGGUGUAGCGGUGAAAUGCAUAGAUAUCACAUAGAACACCGAUCGCGAAGGCAGGUGACCAACCAUGUACUGACGCUGAUGGACGAAAGCGUGGGUAGCGAACGGGAUUAGAUACCCCGGUAGUCCACGCCGUAAACGAUGGAUACUAGCUGUGGGGACUUCGGUCUCCGUGGCCAAGCGAAAGUGAUAAGUAUCCCACCUGGGGAGUACGUUCGCAAGAAUGAAACUCAAAGGAAUUGACGGGGGCCCGCACAAGCGGUGGAGCAUGUGGUUUAAUUCGAUUCAACGCGAAGAACCUUACCAGGGUUUGACAUGAUACGAAUUUCUUUGAAAGAAGAAAGUGCCGUUUGGAACGUAUACACAGGUGGUGCAUGGCUGUCGUCAGCUCGUGUCGUGAGAUGUUGGGUUAAGUCCCGCAACGAGCGCAACCCUCAUCCCUAGUUGCCAUCAUUCAGUUGGGCACUCUAAGGAAACUGCCGGUGAUAAGCCGGAGGAAGGUGGGGAUGACGUCAAGUCCUCAUGGCCUUUAUGACUAGGGCUGCACACGUCCUACAAUGCAACAUACAAAGGGAAGCCAACUCGUGAGAGCGAGCAAAUCCCAAAAAGUGUUGCUCAGUUCGGAUUGCAGGCUGCAACUCGCCUGCAUGAAGCCGGAAUCGCUAGUAAUCGCGGGUCAGCAUACCGCGGUGAAUAUGUUCCUGAGCCUUGUACACACCGCCCGUCAAGCCACGAAAGCGGGGGGCAUCCAAAGUCGCUGAGCUAACCUUCGGGAGGCAGGCGCCUAAGAUGAACUCCGUGAUUGGGACUAAGUCGUAACAAGGUAGCCGUACCGGAAGGUGCGGCUGGAUCACC